rnacentral:tRNA from 1 species
GCCCGCGUGGCGAAACUGGUAGACGCACAGGACUUAAAAUUCUGGGAGUAAAAUCAUGUAGGUUCAAGUCCUAUCGCGGGCACCA